rnacentral:rRNA from 1 species
UACGAAGGGGGCUAGCGUUGCUCGGAAUCACUGGGCGUAAAGGGUGCGUAGGCGGGUCUUUAAGUCAGGGGUGAAAUCCUGGAGCUCAACUCCAGAACUGCCUUUGAUACUGAAGAUCUUGAGUUCGGGAGAGGUGAGUGGAACUGCGAGUGUAGAGGUGAAAUUCGUAGAUAUUCGCAAGAACACCAGUGGCGAAGGCGGCUCACUGGCCCGAUCCUGACGCUGAGGCACGAAAGCUGGGGGAGCAAACAGG